UUCAUUCACUGUCUCGACUAUGGUGUUUCGUACUUCAAUCCUGAGGGAUUAAGUGUCCCUCCCGUCCCCUCGUCGUUGAAUCUUUUCAUUCAUCGGACUGUACCAUUAACCUGUUAACCAGGUGAUUUUCUGAUUGUGAACACUUAACGAAUUAUAGUUCGUUGAGGAACAGUGAAAUUACAUCUUUUGUGACGUCAAUUCACACGAAUUAAUUCUAUUGAAUCUUCCGUUACAGUAUUUGUAAGAUUAUGUCACGAUGGACACGAAUACAAGAACAAUUAGUUUAUCUGUUGAACACAAGAAUAAUUAGUUGAAUUACAUAGGAAGCAGGAGUUAUUUAAAUGUGAAGUUUUACGAAUUAACUCGUCUUAUUUGGUUAACAGGCCAACAUCCGUUUCGCUGGUCCCCGCGUUGUCGUUCGGGGAGAGAAUAGUGUAGUGUUAACGAUCAAUUCGAAACAACAUUACUCCAUCAUUCGAAGACCGAUAGAAAACAGUGAUUCCAAGAAACGUACCGUGUUAUUACUUUAAUAAGUGCGGAAGAGCGCGUCAAUGUCCACUAGUGUCGAAUAAAAGCUAAAGGUCAUGAGAUUUCCUCUGAUUGUUCGUAGAGGCCCGGCACAUGCACUGCUCGGUCGAUAAAUAUCGCUAUUUUUCGGGUCUAGAGACCACUAUCGCCGUUAUCAUUCAGGACAGAUAAGUUCCUGAACAAACGGUGCAUAUUUAAUGUCUGUCUAUAGAUCGGCUUGUUUAUAACAGUCUCCCCAUUUCUCUAAGAACCAUGUUCACAAACAAGAUUAAUUCCUAACCAGUGUCUCCGUCGAUAAACAGAAAACACACGACAGAAUCAUUGCGAAUGUGUUUUCUCAACAAAGCAAACAAAUUAAUUCUCCAACUAUCCCAAUUGUCUCAUUAUAAUUAUACAUAUAAGUUCGAUGUGUUAAGGUUAGGUUGAAAACUGUUGCAUUAGCAAAGUCAUCAUCUUCUCAUAAAUUUCUAUUGCAUUAUAAAUUAACAUAAAUUAUCUACAAUUAAUUUACGUUGAAAGUUACAUUCCAUACAGGGAUCUCGAUAUCUAUUUUAUUUUUUCGCGGGAAACUGCACCAUAAAUAUUAGGACACCCUAUAUGUAAUAGAUCCGCGAGUAUCUCUCGAACCGGACACUCUCCGUAUUGAAACCUCGAGUAACGAUCAUUGAAAACAAUCGAAUCGUUGUUACCUCGUUAUGAUGAUCCUUGCUUGUUCAAUCUUGUGAGAGCAGGAACAAACGCUACAAUCGAAAACGGACAUUUCGCUGUUCGCUGGAAAAUGUAGCGGGCACAUACUAAUAUGGUUCGACUUUAUCUUCACGACUUCUUGACCCUUCGCAGACGAUAGCGUGCAGAGACCACGAGUAAUUGCCGAGGGAAGCUUGUCUGCUCCGAUGCUGGAGUCACAAAAUUGCAGUAGCGGCCAAUUGAUCAGAGUUGGAGGAACUUAAUUGCCACUUGGUAAUUAAUACCUUGUUCAUGAAAAAAUAUUUUACUCACAUUAUCUAUAGUGCUUGUUAUAUUAAUUCCAAGCUCAAUUUUUCUAUUAACAGAAUUCCCUUGACGCACGUUUCUACAUAUUUCUGCUUUCCCAUUAACGAGGUACUGAAAUGGAAUGAAAGUCUUAUGAGGAUCAAUAUGCAUCAUAACUGUAGAAUAAGGGGAUACGGAUUUCGGUGCUCAUCGUCAACUUUUUCCUCGGUUCGGCGAAAAAAUCCGUCGCCGAAAAUGUACGGCUUGCAAUGCGUGCAAGCUGUGCGGCAGAAGUCUUCCGCCAGAAGACAGCCACGCGCCUCUUCAUGCUCGCAGCAUGUCCGCUAAUCCGCUUCGACUUAAUGCGGCUUUGCAUUUUAACGCAGCGUCCGACCUCUUUGUUUGCCACUGACCAGCAUAUUUUUAUCCUCUUUGAAAAUUUCUCUGGAGCCUAUCUAGCUUUUCUUUUGAUUUCAGAAGAGCUCUAUCUUAAAAAGCUGUUGCCUCGCGGAACGAUGAAUACGGGCGCCUCACCAACCGAGAAACAUAAACGAGGGACUCGGGUCAGAGAAAUCAAAGAUUCGAUUGUGGCCUCGGCUCCUCCCUAUCUCCGGCACUUGCAUUUCUGCGAGCGAUACUCCUCAUCGCACGAUUCAUCCUCCGUUCUGCUGUGUUUCGUUCGAUGAAUCGAGUAUUAACCCCUCGCUAUUAAUUGGAGCACACGAUAGCAUCAGUUUCAAUAUUGUACAAAUACCAUCAUUGGUAGGCAUUGAUUCACGAUUGAAAUUUGUUACUAAAAAAUCUACUAAUGUAAAUCCUCAGCUAAGUGCCGGUAGAUAACAGAGAUAGAAGUCGUUCUUAAUCUCCAUUAAAAUAAUUGUUUAUUCCUCAGGCUAAAGGGUUCAACUGAUAGCAAGAAAGAACGAGCUAAGUCACAUUCCACUGCAUCCUAUUUUAUUUUCCUGUUCCGCUAGGGUAAUAGAAUUAAAUUUCAAGGUCCUAAUUUGACAAUAUUCUAUUAAUAAUCUAUAAAUCCUAACCCGUUCAUAAGUACUAGUGCCGCAGGAGUGGAUAGGUUUGGUUAGAAAGUGCCACAUCUCCUGCUGCUCAAGUGCUUAUCAAUGGGUCGGGGCGCGCAUCUUUAUCACAAAACAGAGAAUCCAAUCAUAUAAACAAAACGA